AUGAGAAGAUGUAUCUGCUGGAAGCCAUAUCCUUUCCAGGAAAGGCUGAGGCAUUCUCAGCUUGAGAGUGUGUUUUCCAAGAGGCUGGUUGGAGGAGACUCGGUUAGAGUUGGAAAUUUUUACCUAGAGGCACUAGAGACAUCAAGGUUUCCCCUCAGGAAGGAAGCCUCCAGCGCCCUGGACUAACUUCUCCCUGAGCCUGUAUGGUGAAGAUGCUGAAAAGGAUGUGAGCGUCCACCAUGGAAGGCAAGUCCAUGACUACCCAGAACCAUUUCUCCAUCACAUGCCCCUCCAGCCCCUUCGUCAAGGCUACAGAGACUUUAUUCUGACUCGAGCUCUUCAUUCUCAAUGCAUCAAAAACCCUGCCUUCCACGCUGCUCCAUUCCCAUCCCAGGAGAAAUGAAGUCCUGAGGCCCUCAUUGGCUUUCCCUCCAUCUCCUUAACUUAGGCAGAGUAGUGUUCUUUCACCAUCUACUUCAGCUCCUUUACCUUCCCUUUAUAAAUAUUCUCUUCACCACUGACUCACAAUUGUGUGUAUAUUUUAUUCUACAUUAUAUUAUUAUGGAAAAUAUGUAUGGGCUAAUGCUACCUACAUAGCAUUCCAAGUCAAGAAAGCAAGCUCUUUAGUAAGCAUUACUAUGAGAUAGUCUCACAUAGAAUGGAAAAGCACUGACACACGUUACACACUCUCUUGAUCACAUAUUUUUAAAUUCUAAGCAUACACAUCCUUUCUUGCACCAUGCACCAGUUUACAGUAUCACAGCUGGAAUCCUGCAGUACUGCAGUUUAUCUUUAGGUUUCGAUGCAACAGCCAUUCAGAAGCACUUGCAAUAAUCACGUGGUCACUACCAUGUGUUAGUUCAUCUUGCACAUGUAGCAGUGGUGUGUGGGCCUAGAGCUCAGCUUCCAAAACCCAGCCUUUCCAUGACCAUUUGUAACACUGGCCACUUGCACCACACAGGAGGUGUGUGUGUGUGUGUGUGUGUGUGUGUCUGUCAGGGCAGGGGAUAUUUAUUUAGAUCACUUUCUAUGGCGGUGAAGCAAUUUCUCACAUCUGAAUACUAAGGUAAUCCUCCCUGGUACAGGGGCACAGGGCAACUGCCUCUAAUUGCCUCCUAAGAGCUAGAGAAAA
rnacentral:lncRNA from 1 species